rnacentral:lncRNA from 1 species
GACGACUUGAGGUGGAGGGAGGGAGGGCUACAGGAGCCAGCCCUGCCACAAAGAACCCACAGAGCCCCUCAGCAUCAAGCAGGGCUCCCAGAGUCCCUAUCCUCUGCCAAUCCUGUGCUAGGUAUGAGGGAUACAGCCGAGAGCUGAUAGGAACCUGUCUGAUAGGAGCUCACUGUCAGCAUCUUCUGUACUCAUUCUCAUCCCUUUAAAACAACCUCUCAAGGACCCUGGAUUCUUCCACUGUCUUUCAAGACCAAGAAGCAGAAGAAUGGAUGGGACUUGAGGAUGGCAGCAGAAAGAAAGCAAAGUUCACUGCCAGUUCAAGAUGGUGGCGGCUGCUUUAUGCAACAUAAUUCUUCAGUAGGGAGACGCCCGGAGCGAGCGGAGCCAGGCGCGCCGGGAGUGGCCAGGCGAGCCCGGCCGGACGGCGGACGCCGGAGCGCGCGCCGGAGCCGGCGCUGGAGCGGGCGCUGGAGCCUGGGCCCGAGGCGCGCCGUCAGCCCGCAGAGCUGCGGGGACGCGCCCGCGGGGACGCCCGGCCCAGUCCCCAGCCAGACCCCAGGUGCCGCCACAGCCCGGCUCGAGCGCCCAGGGCGGGCGGGGGGCGAGCGGGGGGCGAGCAGGAGCAGCCCCCGCCCCCGCUCCUCCCAGGCCGGCCUACGGUGCGGCCCACGGUCCCGCGGCCGGAGCGCUUGAACCGACUGCACGGGACUCCCGCGCCCCACGGCCCCCGCACUCCCGUUAUAGAAUUCUGACCCUAAAAUAAAUGUCAGGACGUUUUUUUUUCCCCCCA